AUCGCUUCUCGGCCGAUUGGCUAAGGUCAAGUGUAGCGUCUGUUCUUAUCAGCUUUAAUAUCCGAUACGUCCUUUAUUUAAGGACCAUAUAUUAAUCUGAUUUUUGGAGCAGGGAGUUGGAAUAGGGGUUUGCUCCAUCCACUUUUUUUUUUUGGGUGGCACGGUGGCUCAGCGGUUAGCGCUGC